rnacentral:rRNA from 1 species
AAUGAACGUUGGCGGCAUGGAUUAGGCAUGCAAGUCGAGCGAGAAGAGUUUUGAAGCUUGCUUUAGAACUCGGACAGCGGCGAAAGGGAGAGUAACGCGUAGUUAUGUGCCCUAGGGUCCGGAAUAGCCACGGGAAACUGUGGGUAAUGCCGGAUAAUAUCCCCGGAUCAAAGGUGUGAUUCCGCCCUAGGAGCAGACUGCGUCCUACUAGCUAGUUGGUGGGGUAAUGGCCCGCCAAGGCAAUGAUGGGUAGCGGGUGUGAGAGCAUGACCCGUCUCACUGGGACUGAGACACUGCCCAGACACCUACGGGUGGCUGCAGUCGAGAAUCUUCGGCAAUGGGCGAAAGCCUGACCGAGCGAUGCCGCGUGCGGGAUGAAGGCCCUCGGGUUGUAAACCGCUGUCGUAGGGGAGGAAGGUUCCGUGAAGAGCGGGACUUGACCUAUCCUAGGAGGAAGUACGGGCUAAGUUCGUGCCAGCCGCCGCGGUAAUAC